UACAGAGGGUGCUAGCGUUGUUCGGAAUUACUGGGCGUAAAGCGCGUGCAGGCGGAUGAAGAAGUCGGGUGUGAAAGCCCUGGGCUCAACCCAGGAAUUGCGCCCGAAACCAUUUAUCUAGAGUAUGGUAGAGGAGCGGGGAACUCCCGGUGUAGAGGUGAAAUUCGUAGAUAUCGGGAGGAACACCAGAGGCGAAAGCGCCGCUCUGGGCCAUCACUGACGCUCAUACGCGAAAGCGUGGGUAGCAAACAGG
rnacentral:misc_RNA from 1 species